ensembl:lncRNA
UUUCUGUCUACUAUUUCACUGGAGAAAGCAAUAGGACUCAUAUUUUGGUGUUACCUGACUAAAUGGAGCCAUGUUGUUUACUUGUGGAUUAUUGUGAUGUUUUCAUCAGCUGUUUGGAUUCUCAUUCUGACGGCACCCAUUCACUGCAGAGGAUCCAUUGACAGAGCUGCCAGGCCAGAGUCCCGACUGGACGUCCAAACACACGGUCUCAAAGGCAGUGGGAAAUCCUUUUACAGGAACCAGAAGGCAAGUCGAUGUCAACAGAGCGAGGCCGGUGGAGUAAAU